rnacentral:rRNA from 1 species
AGUGAACGCUGGCGGCAGGCUUAACACAUGCAAGUCGAACGAGCGGCGGACGGGUGAGUAAUACAUCGGAAACUACUCUGUGGAGGGGGCUAACGAAUGGAAACUUUAGCUAAUACCGCAUACGAUUGAAUGUGCCCAUGUCGGAUUAGCUAGUUGGUGGGGUAAAGGCACACCAAGGCGACGAUCCGUAGCUGGUCUGAGAGGAUGACCAGCCACACUGGAACUGAGACACGGUCCAGACUCCGCCGGGAGGCAGCAGUGGGGAAUAUUGGACAAGGGGCGCAAGCCUGAUCCAGCCAUACCGCGUGGGUGAAGAAGGCCUUCGGGUUGUAAAGCCCUUUUGUUGGGAAAGCGGUACCCGAAGAAUAAGCACCGGCUAACUUCGUGCCAGCCGCCGCGGUAAUAC